rnacentral:rRNA from 1 species
AGUGAACGCUGGCGGUAGGCCUAACACAUGCAAGUCGAACGGCAGCACAGUGAGAGCUUGCUCUUACGGGUGGCGAGUGGCGGACGGGUGAGGAAUACAUCGGAAUCUACUUUUUCGUGGGGGAUAACGUAGGGAAACUUACGCUAAUACCGCAUACGACCUACGGGUGAAAGCAGGGGAUCUUCGGACCUUGCGCGAUUGAAUGAGCCGAUGUCGGAUUAGCUAGUUGGCGGGGUAAAGGCCCACCAAGGCGACGAUCCGUAGCUGGUCUGAGAGGAUGAUCAGCCACACUGGAACUGAGACACGGUCCAGACUCCUACGGGAGGCAGCAGUGGGGAAUAUUGGACGAAGGGCGCAAGCCUGAUCCAGCCAUACCGCGUGGGUGAAGAAGGCCUUCGGGUUGUAAAGCCCUUUUGUUGGGAAAGAAAAGCAGCAGGUUAAUACCCCGCUGUUCUGACGGUACCCAAAGAAUAAGCACCGGCUAACUUCGUG